UUAUAGUUAUUUCUUCUUGCCUGAUGUCGUGAAAACUGGCAUAAGGGUGUGAGAUCUUUCCAGGUACACGCAGAAAACGGAGCAUAAAGGCCUGAGAAAUAAUACU